GUGGGGAAUAUUGGACAAUGGGCGAAAGCCUGAUCCAGCCAUGCCGCGUGUGUGAAGAAGGCCUUAGGGUUGUAAAGCACUUUAAGCAGGAAAGAAAAGCGCCGGGUUAAUACCCCGAGCGUAUUGACAGUACCUGCAGAAUAAGCACCGGCUAACUCCGUGCCAGCAGCCGCGGUAAUACGGAGGGUGCAAGCGUUAAUCGGAAUUACUGGGCGUAAAGCGAGUGCAGGCGGUCGCGUGUGUCGGGUGUGAAAGCCCCGGGCUCAACCUGGGAAUUGCAUCCGAAACUGCGUGACUAGAAUAUGGUAGAGGAAGACGGAAUUCCACGUGUAGCGGUGAAAUGCGUAGAUAUGUGGAGGAACACCAAUGGCGAAGGCAGUCUUCUGGGCCAAUAUUGACGCUGAGGCUCGAAAGCGUGGGUAGCAA
rnacentral:rRNA from 1 species